rnacentral:rRNA from 1 species
AAUAAGCGGAGGAAAAGAAACUAACAAGGAUUCCCCUAGUAACUGCGAGUGAAGCGGGAAAAGCUCAAAUUUAAAAUCUGACAGUCUUUGGUUGUCCGAGUUGUAAUCUGGAGAAGCGUCUUCUGUUCUGGACCGUGUACAAGUCUCCUGGAACGGAGCGUCAUAGAGGGUGAGAAUCCCGUCUUUGACACGGACUACCAGUGCUCUGUGAUGCGCUCUCAAAGAGUCGAGUUGUUUGGGAAUGCAGCUCAAAAUGGGUGGUAAACUCCAUCUAAAGCUAAAUAUUGGCGAGAGACCGAUAGCGAACAAGUACCGUGAGGGAAAGAUGAAAAGCACUUUGGAAAGAGAGUUAAACAGUACGUGAAAUUGCUGAAAGGGAAACGCUUGAAGUCAGUCGCGUUUGUUAGGACUCAGCCUUGCCUCGGCUUGGUGCACUUCCUAGUAGACGGGCCAGCAUCACUUUUGACUGCGGGAAAAAGAUCAGAGGAAUGUGGCACCUUCGGGUGUGUUAUAGCCUCUGGUUGUAUACCGUGGCUGGGAGUGAGGAACUCAGCACGCCUUUAUGGCGGGGCUUCGGCCACCUUCGUGCUUAGGAUGCUGGCGUAAUGGCUUUAAGCGACCCGUCUUGAAACACGGACCAAGGAGUCUAACAUGCCUGCGAGUGUUUGGGUGGAAAACCCGAGCGCAUAAUGAAAGUGAAAGUUGGGACCUCUGUUGUGGAGGGCACCGACGCCCGGACCAGACCUUCUGUGACGGAUCCGCGGUAGAGCAUGUAUGUUGGGACCCGAAAGAUGGUGAACUAUGCCUGAAUAGGGUGAAGCCAGAGGAAACUCUGGUGGAGGCUCGUAGCGAUUCUGACGUGCAAAUCGAUCGUCAAAUUUGGGUAUAGGGGCGAAAGACUAAUCGAACCAUCUAGUAGCUGGUUCCUG